rnacentral:rRNA from 1 species
UACGGGAGGCAGCAGUGAGGAAUAUUGGUCAAUGGGCGAGAGCCUGAACCAGCCAAGUAGCGUGCAGGAUGACGGCCCUAUGGGUUGUAAACUGCUUUUAUACAGGGAUAAAGUCGGGGACGUGUUCCCUGUUUGCAGGUACUGUAUGAAUAAGGACCGGCUAAUUCCGUGCCAGCAGCCGCGGUAAU